GACGAACGCUGGCGGCGUGCUUAACACAUGCAAGUCGAACGGAAAGGCCCUGCUUUUGUGGGGUGCUCGAGUGGCGAACGGGUGAGUAACACGUGAGUAACCUGCCCUUGACUUUGGGAUAACUUCAGGAAACUGGGGCUAAUACCGGAUAGGAGCUCCUGCUGCAUGGUGGGGGUUGGAAAGUUUCGGCGGUUGGGGAUGGACUCGCGGCUUAUCAGCUUGUUGGUGGGGUAGUGGCUUACCAAGGCUUUGACUGGUAGCCGGCCUGGGAGGGUGACCGGCCACAUUGGGACUGAGGUACGGCCCAGACGCCUACGGGAGGCAGCAGUGGGGAAUAUUGCACAAUGGGCGGAAGCCUGAUGCAGCAACGCCGCGUGCGGGAUGACGGCCUUCGGGUUGUAAACCGCUUUCGCCUGUGACGAAGCGUGAGUGACGGUAAUGGGUAAAGAAGCACCGGCUAACUACGUG
rnacentral:rRNA from 1 species